rnacentral:rRNA from 1 species
UACGUAGGUGGCAAGCGUUGUCCGGAUUUACUGGGCGUAAAGAGCGCGCAGGCGGUCGUGCAAGUCGCGUGUGAAAGCCCCCGGCUCAACUGGGGAGGGUCACGCGAUACUGCUCGACUCGAAGGCAGGAGAGGGAAGUGGAAUUCCCGGUGCAGUGGUGAAAUGCGUGAGAUAUCGGGAGGAACACCAGUGGCGAAGGCGACUUCCUGGCCUGUUCUUGACGCUGAGGCGCGAAAGCUAGGGUAGCAAACGGGG